rnacentral:rRNA from 1 species
CCUGAGCCUUGUACACACCGCCCGUCAAGUCAUGGGAGCUGGGAGUACCCGAAGUCCGUUUAGCUAACCCGCAAGGGGGCGGCGGCCGACGGUAAGGCCCGGUGACUGGGACU